ensembl:lncRNA
AUGAAGAGAAGCUACAGAUUCCCUCAAAACAGUUCAGAAACCUGUGAAACUGCCCAAAAUGGACAUGAUGGCCAAAUACUAUAUUUCCAUUAUGUUUGUAAUUGUUUUGUAUUGAACUUUUACAGAUACAUUGCAAAUCAAAACAGACUAUUUGACAUCAAUGAUAACAGCUUGAAGUACUACUCUAAUCUCAGAAAUCUAACUGUGACAAAUACCAGAUUGACUUCUAUCUCAUCACAGGCCUUUUUCAACAAUACAAGACUUCAAUAUCUGUAAGUACUGUAUAGUCUUUGAUUCAUUUUCUGUUUGGUGUUGUUCUUAUCUUCCUCCUCACAGAUGUAGCUAAUGUACUUUCAAAGAGCAAAUGUAGGGCCCCCAAGCCAAUCACAAACAAUUAAGGCCAAUUCAUAUUAUAGACUAUGUAGAUUCUUACAGAUGUAGGAUCUUAAUUUGGAUCUUAAUUUAGAUAUAUUUUUGCUGAGAAUGUUCCUACACAGCAGGAAAUGCAAAUUUGUCGCGUAUUUGAGUUUUAAACAGGCUUCUAAACGGUGUGUUUCCCACUUUGAAACUUGAUUUGCCCUAAUGAAAAAUGUAUCAACCCCUACAAAAAUGUCCAUUAAUUACAAUCCACAUAAUCAUGAACAUUUCCUGUCGCUGAAGGAUUAUUCUCCUGCUGUAGCUAACUGUCUCAAAUGACGAUUCUACAUCUGUACUAACCUUACAGUGAAGCCUUGCAGUCAACACUUCUAAACGUGGUAAUUCUUAUCUAAAUCUGCAUGGAUUGGCAUGAUAAUGUCGCCUAUAGUCAAAGGAGCUGGUUCAAGUGCAUACAGUUUAGCCUCAUGGCUGGGUAGCGGGACGACACGCUCAGCAAACAGUGAGGAGCAGUUAAUGGUCUGACCAUGUGUUUUUGUUAAUGCAUAGUUAAAAGGUGCUAGGUGCAAAACAAGUGAAAGUGAAAAUAGAGCAAGCAUUCUGUUCCAACGUCAUGUCACAUACGUUUUCAUUUGAGUUUAAUCACACACACACACACACACUGAUUUUGGAUUGAGUUCAGUACAUACAGGUAACUGCCAAAAGACAGGAAACUCGGGUAAAUGAGGGAUACAAAAGUACAUUGAAAGCAGGCGCUUCCACACAAUUGCGGUUCCUAAGUUAAUUAAGCAACUGACAUCCCAUCAUGCUUAGGGUCAUGUAUAAGUGCCCAGUUGCCCAGUAUUUAGGCUAGCAUGGCUAGAAGAGGAGGUCUGUGACUUUGAAAGAGGGGUCUCAAAUGAGCAUAGGGGGUUUAAAUGGUUGUGUGUGUGUGUGUGUGUGUCACCAGAUCUCAACCUGGUGACACAGACGUAUGGGAGAUUCAAACAAAACAAAACCCCAAAUUAUGGAAUUUCUCGUGGAAAAUGGUGUCACAUCCAUCCAGUAGAGUUCCAGACAGUGCUUGACUUGGGCAGGAGCCCACCGGAGCAGAGUACUGGCACCUCAAAUGCUCUACUGCUUGAGCUCCUGUUCCUCUUAUAGAAUAUUAACUCAAAAGUAUUAUGGAGCUCCUGCAACGAAUUGUAAACAAUACCCGCACCUAUUUCAGUCCAAGUCAAGCACUGGUUCCAGACACUUGUAGAAUCUAUGUCAAGGCGCAUAGGAGCUGUUCUGGCAUCUCGUGGUGGCCCAAUGCCAUAUUUGUAUUUUUAUUUAACCUUAAUUUAACUAGGCAAGUCAGUUAAGAACAAAUUCUGAUUUACAAUGACGGCCUAGGGACAGUGGGUUAACUGCCUCGUUCAGGGACAGAAUGACAGAUUUUUACCUUGUCAGCUCAGGGAUUCGAUUUAGCAUCCCUCCGGUUACUGGCCCAACGCUCUAACCAGUAGGCUACCUGCCGCCCCAAAGAUACUUUAUGUUGGUGUUUCCUUUAUUUUUGAAGUUACCUGUACAUUGAUAACAUUAGUUAUGUCAUUCUGACCUACAAUAGUUGGUUUAUUGUAACAUUUAUGAUUUAUUAUUUUGACUCGUAGGAAUCUGAGAGACAAUAACUUGUCAACACUCUCUUGGAAAACAUUCCAAAACUUAAACAUGACAUCUUUGUAAGUACCUAUCCCUAUUUACUAUUUUAUGUCAUGUAAUUCUUAUUUUAAAGUGCAGUGUGUGUGUGUGUGUGUGUGUGUGUGUGUGUGUGUGUGUGUGUGUGUGUGUGUGUGUGUGUGUGUGUGUGUGUGUGUGUGUGUGUGUGUGUGUGUGUGUGUGUGUGUGUGUGUUAAUG